AGUGAACGCUGGCGGUAGGCCUAACACAUGCGAGUCGAACGGCAGCACAGUAAGAGCUUGUUCUUACGGGUGGCGAGUGGCGGACGGGUGAGGAAUACAUCGGAAUCUACUUUUUCGUGGGGGAUAACGUAGGGAAACUUACGCUAAUACCGCAUACGACCUACGGGUGAAAGCAGGGGAUCUUCGGACCUUGCGCGAUUGAAUGAGCCGAUGUCGGAUUAGCUAGUUGGCGGGGUAAAGGCCCACCAAGGCGACGAUCCGUAGCUGGUCUGAGAGGAUGAUCAGCCACACUGGAACUGAGACACGGUCCAGACUCCUACGGGAGGCAGCAGUGGGGAAUAUUGGACAAUGGGCGCAAGCCUGAUCCAGCCAUACCGCGUGGGUGAAGAAGGCCUUCGGGUUGUAAAGCCCUUUUGUUGGGAAAGAAAAGCAGCAGGUUAAUACCCCGCUGUUCUGACGGUACCCAAAGAAUAAGCACCGGCUAACUUCGUG
rnacentral:rRNA from 1 species